CGAGCGGCAGCACGGGGAGCUUGCUCCCUGGUGGCGAGCGGCGGACGGGUGAGUAAUGCAUAGGAAUCUGCCCGGUAGUGGGGGAUAACGUGGGGAAACCCACGCUAAUACCGCAUACGUCCUACGGGAGAAAGCGGAGGAUCUUCGGACUUCGCGCUAUCGGAUGAGCCUAUGUCGGAUUAGCUAGUUGGUAAGGUAACGGCUUACCAAGGCAACGAUCCGUAGCUGGUCUGAGAGGAUGAUCAGCCACACUGGGACUGAGACACGGCCCAGACUCCUACGGGAGGCAGCAGUGGGGAAUAUUGGACAAUGGGCGAAAGCCUGAUCCAGCCAUGCCGCGUGUGUGAAGAAGGCUUUCGGGUUGUAAAGCACUUUCAGCGAGGAAGAAAGCCUCUGGGUUAAUACCCCAGAGGAAGGACAUCACUCGCAGAAGAAGCACCGGCUAACUCCGUGCCAGCAGCCGCGGUAAUACGGAGGGUGCGAGCGUUAAUCGGAAUUACUGGGCGUAAAGCGCGCGUAGGUGGCUUGGCACGCCGGUUGUGAAAGCCCCGGGCUCAACCUGGGAACUGCAUCCGGAACGGCCAGGCUAGAGUGCAGGAGAGGAAGGUAGAAUUCCCGGUGUAGCGGUGAAAUGCGUAGAGAUCGGGAGGAAUACCAGUGGCGAAGGCGGCCUUCUGGCCUGACACUGACACUGAGGUGCGAAAG
rnacentral:rRNA from 1 species